GAUGAACGCUGGCGGCGUGCUUAACACAUGCAAGUCGAACGGAAAGGCUCCUGCUUGCAGGGGCACUCGAGUGGCGAACGGGUGAGUAACCCGUGGGUGAUCUGCCCUGCACUUCGGGAUAAGCCUGGGAACCUGGGUCUAAUACCGGAUAGGACCACCGUUUGGGGUCGGGGGUGGAAAGUUUUUUCGGUGUGGGAUGAGCUCGCGGCCUAUCAGCUUGUUGGUGGGGUAUUGGCCUACCAAGGCGUCGACGGGUAGCCGGCCUGAGAGGGUGUACGGCCACAUUGGGACUGAGAUACGGCCCAGACUCCUACGGGAGGCAGCAGUGGGGAAUAUUGCACAAUGGGCGCAAGCCUGAUGCAGCGACGCCGCGUGGGGGAUGACGGCCUUCGGGUUGUAAACUCCUUUCGCCAGGGACGAAGCGAAAGUGACGGUACCUGGAUAAGAAGCACCGGCUAACUACGUG
rnacentral:rRNA from 1 species